GAUGAACGCUGGCGGCGUGCCUAAUACAUGCAAGUCGAGCGAACAGACGAGGAGCUUGCUCCUCUGACGUUAGCGGCGGACGGGUGAGUAACACGUGGAUAACCUACCUAUAAGACUGGGAUAACUUCGGGAAACCGGAGCUAAUACCGGAUAAUAUAUUGAACCGCAUGGUUCAAUAGUGAAAGACGGUUUUGCUGUCACUUAUAGAUGGAUCCGCCCCGCAUUAGCUAGUUGGUAAGGUAACGGCUUACCAAGGCGACGAUGCGUAGCCGACCUGAGAGGGUGAUCGGCCACACUGGAACUGAGACACAGUCCAGACUCCUACGGGAGGCAGCAGUAGGGAAUCUUCCGCAAUGGGCGAAAGCCUGACGGAGCAACGCCGCGUGAGUGAUGAAGGUCUUCGGAUCGUAAAACUCUGUUAUUAGGGAAGAACAAAUGUGUAAGUAACUAUGCACGUCUUGACGGUACCUAAUCAGAAAGCCACGGCUAACUACGUG
rnacentral:rRNA from 1 species